AAAUCUCAACCUUCUCGGUUUCUUCUGAACACCGAAGGAGGCUUGGACUUUGGAGGCCUUUGCUGGUGUCUCUCACCAGCUCCUCUCAAAUGAAUUAGCGGGGUCCUCUUUGCCGAUCCUCGACAUGUGAUAAGAUGUUUCCAUGUCUUGGCUUUAUGGCUCUGUUGCCUUUGGGACCCGCUUCUAACCGUCUCAGCGAGACAACGUUCGAGCGUGUCUCCCCUCUCGGGGAAACACUCUUGAACCCACGAAA
rnacentral:misc_RNA from 1 species